CAACCCGCUCCACCGGACCCUACCUGUCUGAGAGAGCCAACCGGGCCACUGUGAGGCUACUCAGCUCCAGAAGGGACCCAUUUGGCUCAGCGAAACCAGCGCCAACUGACCGCUCAUAGUCCAGCACAGAGUCCGAAACCUGCCCCGGCCCCAAGCCGCCAUGGCGGAGCCGAACUGGCAGCCCCCAAACCAGUGGCGACUGGGCCAUUUUCUCAGGAGAGAACACUACAGUUCACGCUCCAUGCUCCUCGAGAGGCAAUACUGGAAAGACAUCUGGCCCAUGGAGGAGGAUGACAAAGAGGAGGAAGAGAGUGAAGAAGAGGAGAAACCAAAGGAGGAGAAGGAAGAGAAGGA